GCUAACUACGUGCCAGCAGCCGCGGUAAUACGUAGGGCGCAAGCGUUAUCCGGGAAUUAUUGGGCGUAAAGAGCUCGUAGGCGGUUUGUCGCCGUCUGCCGUGAAAGUCCGGGGCUCCAACUCCGGAUCUGCGGUGGGUACCGGGCAGACUAGAGUGAUGUAGGGGAGACUGGAAUUCCUGGUGUAGCGGUGAAAUGCGCAGAUAUCAGGAGGAACACCGAUGGCGAAGGCAGGUCUCUGGGCAUUAACUGACGCUGAGGAGCGAAAGCAUGGGGAGCGAACAGGAUUAGAUACCCUGGUAGUCCAUGCCGUAAACGUUGGGCACUAGGUGUGGGGGACAUUCCACGUUUUCCGCGCCGUAGCUAACGCAUUAAGUGCCCCGCCUGGGGAGUACGGCCGCAAGGCUAAAACUCAAAGGAAUUGACGGGGGCCCGCACAAGCGGCGGAGCAUGCGGAUUAAUUCGAUGCAACGCGAAGAACCUUACCAAGGCUUGACAUGAACCGGUAAGACCUGGAAACAGGUCCCCCGCUUGCGGUCGGUUUACAGGUGGUGCAUGGUUGUCGUCAGCUCGUGUCGUGAGAUGUUGGGUUAAGUCCCGCAACGAGCGCAACCCUCGUUCUAUGUUGCCAGCACGUGAUGGUGGGGACUCAUAGGAGACUGCCGGGGUCAACUCGGAGGAAGGUGGGGACGACGUCAAAUCAUCAUGCCCCUUAUGUCUUGGGCUUCACGCAUGCUACAAUGGCCGGUACAAAGGGUUGCGAUACUGUGAGGUGGAGCUAAUCCCAAAAAGCCGGUCUCAGUUCGGAUUGGGGUCUGCAACUCGACCCCAUGAAGUCGGAGUCGCUAGUAAUCGCAGAUCAGCAACGCUGCGGUGAAUACGUUCCCGGGCCUUGUACACACCGCCCGUCAAGUCACGAAAGUUGGUAACACCCGAAGCUCGGUGGCCUAACCCCUUGUGGGAGGAGC
rnacentral:rRNA from 1 species